CCGUAGCUCAGUUGGAUAGAGCGUUCGGCUCCGACCCGGAAGGCCGCAGGUUCGAAUCCUGUCGGGC
rnacentral:tRNA from 1 species